GUCUACGGCCAUACCACCCUGAACGCGCCCGAUCUCGUCUGAUCUCGGAAGUUAAGCAGGGUCGGGCCUGGUUAGUACUUGGAUGGGAGAAAAGAGGACAUUUGAGGUG
rnacentral:rRNA from 1 species